rnacentral:rRNA from 1 species
AUACGUAGGGUGCGAGCGUUAAUCGGAAUUACUGGGCGUAAAGCGUGCGCAGGCGGCUUUUUAAGUCGGAUGUGAAAUCCCUGAGCUUAACUUAGGAAUUGCAUUCGAUACUGGGAAGCUAGAGUAUGGGAGAGGAUGGUAGAAUUCCAGGUGUAGCGGUGAAAUGCGUAGAGAUCUGGAGGAAUACCGAUGGCGAAGGCAGCCAUCUGGCCUAAUACUGACGCUGAGGUACGAAAGCAUGGGGAGCAAACAGGAUUAGAUACCCUGGUAGUCCAUGCCGUAAACGAUGUCUACUAGCCGUUGGGGCCUUUGAGGCUUUAGUGGCGUAGCUAACGCGAUAAGUAGACCGCCUGGGGAGUACGGUCGCAAGACUAAA